rnacentral:tmRNA from 1 species
GGGGGCGCGUGGAUUCGACAGGAGGGGUAGGCUACAGAAUUGCAAGCUGAGGUGUCACUACCCUCAAUAAACCAGUGGCAAAAAAUAACUGCCGAAGAUGCAGUUCUCGUUGCUGCCUAAUUAAAUAGGUAGCACAUCCAGCUUGACCUUGCCUCAAUGGGUUGGGAUUGGGUGCCGUUCAGUUGAGGUGCCAUUACUCUGAUGUCGGUAGGGGUGAUGAAAGAAAUAUCGACUGGCUUAGUUAAACUCGGUCAACUGAGGUUGGCUAGGCAAGAGUAAAGAGUUGACUAAGCUUGUAGUAAAUUCUGGGUAGUUUCUCUUGGACGGGGAGUUCGACUCUCCCCCGCCUCCACCA